GACGUAGGUGGCGAACGUUAUCCGGAAUUAUUGGGCGUAAAGGGUGCGUAGGCGGCAUGAUAAGUUAUUGGCGGCAAAUCGAGGCUCAACCUCGUGGAAACUGAUAAUACUGUCUUGCUUGAGUGCAGAAGAGGUUAACGGAACUUCAUGUGGAGCGGUAAAAUGUGUAGAUAUAUGGAAGAACAUCAAUAACGGCGAAGGCAGUUAACUAUUCUGUUACUGACGUUUGAGGCACGAAAGCGUGGGGAGCAAAAAGG
rnacentral:rRNA from 1 species